rnacentral:lncRNA from 1 species
GCUAAAUAUAAAGUAUCUGAAAAUUAAAAAUGCUUAAGCUCAGUGUUGAUAAGAAACUAGAGUGUGGUAGAAUGCAUUCAUUUAUAUUAACCUGUGACAACACCACCAUUCAGGAGAAUGUCUUAUAACUACCAUAACUGCAAAAGGACGUGAAGAGUAGAAGUCCGAAACAAUAAAAUGUCAUCCAGCACUAGCACAGUGAAGGGGGUGUUCUUAAAAGGUAAUUUGAUUUGGAAGUGUUAGGAGAAAAAAAUAGAUACUUAUCCAUAGCAAUACUGAAAACAUAUAGUAGCAUUCAUGGAGCAUCAACGCAUACAACCAUUCCAGAUCAGCCAGGUAUUUGUCCCAAGGUUUGUCUGCCUACACACACACUCAAAAGUUAGGAAUAUUAAGAAAAAAAAAAGUCCAGAAGCAUAGAUGGGGUGGGUGAGAUCGGAGUGUUCAUACUCAGAGGGAGACAUUUGAAAAUCCCUACCGUUAAGCCCUGAAUGCUUAUGGCAAGGAUUUGAACAUUGCAAGUUCCUGUCUGGGUUAUUCUGUUGAAACAGGGUUGAAGAAUGGCAAAGACCAACAUCGGCCAAAGGAUAAAGAUGCCAGCUCUGUGUUCGCCAGGUAGCCUGUUGGUCUGUGAGGCUGACUGUCAGUGUGUCAUUGCAGAGCUGGCACAGCUGAAGGCAGAAGCACCGGGCACAGAGGAGAGUGGGGAGGAAGAUCUUGAAAAAGCUGUCUCCAUCAACUUACUGAUCCCAGGGACCAGGGAGCCAGCCCCCGGGGCAAGGCCAACUUGAUGAAGAGUGGCUCUUAGUCCUAUUUUACAGAUGAAGACAUUGAGGUGAAUAUACACAAAGCUGGAAAAUGUUGGCUUAUGACCAAGAACUGAUUCCUGGCCAUGCUCCAGGUGAGUUCAUACAGCAGCCUGGGUAAGGAUAUCCUCUAGAGACCAGUCUUGGGUGACCUGCUGAUCUUCCUGGCUAUUGGUGGCAGCUUAUGCUAUAUUUUCUAUUACACAGCUUUAGAGUCCAGAAAAAUUCUCCUUUUUAAAGCCACAUCUCCAGUCUGUCUAUCUAGUCCCACCUCAACCCAGUUGGUUUC